GACGAACGCUGGCGGCGUGCUUAACACAUGCAAGUCGAACGGUCCGGCCCUUUCGGGGGUACACGAGUGGCGAACGGAUGAGUAACACGUGAGUAACCUGACCACCCCCCUGGUCUAACGCUAGGAAACUGGUGCUCAUCCUGGAUAUGUGCUCCUGCUGCAUGCUGGGGGUUGGAAAGCUCCGGGGGUUGUGGAUGGAUUCGUCGCCUAUCAGCGUGCUGGUGGGGUAGUGGCCUGUUAAGGGGGCGACGGGGCGCCGGCCUGAGAGGGUGACCGGGCACAGUGGGACUGGGAUACGGGCCAGACGCCUGCGGGGGGCAGCAGUGGGGAAGGAUGCACGAUGGGCGCAAGCCGGAUGCGGCAACGCCGCGUGCGGGACGACGGCCUUCGGGUUGUAAGCCGCUUGCAGCAGGGACUAAGCUUUUGGUGACGGUACCUGCAGAAGAAGCACCGGCUAACUACGUG
rnacentral:rRNA from 1 species